UACAGAGGGUGCAAGCGUUAAUCGGAAUUACUGGGCGUAAAGCGUGCGUAGACGGUUAUUUAAGUCAGGUGUGAAAGCCCAGGGCUCAACCUUGGAAUUGCAUUUGAGACUGAAUAGCUAGGGUGCGGAAGAGGGAAGCGGAAUUUCCGGUGUAGCGGUGAAAUGCGUAGAUAUCGGAAGGAACACCAGUGGCGAAAGCGACUUUCUGGUCUGUAACUGACACUGAGGCGCGAAAGCGUGGGGAGCAAACAGG
rnacentral:rRNA from 1 species